AGUGAACGCUGGCGGUAGGCCUAACACAUGCAAGUCGAACGGCAGCACAGUAAGAGCUUGCUCUUACGGGUGGCGAGUGGCGGACGGGUGAGGAAUACAUCGGAAUCUACUUUUUCGUGGGGGAUAACGUAGGGAAACUUACGCUAAUACCGCAUACGACCUACGGGUGAAAGCAGGGGAUCUUCGGACCUUGCGCGAUUGAAUGAGCCGAUGUCGGAUUAGCUAGUUGGCGGGGUAAAGGCCCACCAAGGCGACGAUCCGUAGCUGGUCUGAGAGGAUGAGCAGACACAGUGGAAAUGAGACAAGGUCGAGAGGACGACGGGAGGCAGAAGUGGGGAAUAGUGGAAAAGGGGCGAAAGUAUGAUCCAGCAAUACCGCGGGGGGGAAGAAGGCAUGUGGGUUGUAAAGUCUGUUGGGGGGGAAAGAAAAGAAGCAGGUGAAUACCCCGGUGUCCGGACGGGAGAAAAAGAAUAAGAAACGGCGAACUUAGGG
rnacentral:rRNA from 1 species